UGGGGAGUUUCCCGAGUGGUCAAAGGGAGCAGACUGUAAAUCUGUUGGCGUUGUCUUCCAAGGUUCGAAUCCUUGACUCCCCACUUU
rnacentral:tRNA from 1 species